CCCUUAGAUGUUCUGGGCCGCACGCGCGCUACACUGAUGAAUGCAACGAGCUCUACCCUUGACCGAAAGGCCCGGGUAAACUUGUGAAACUUCAUCGUGAUGGGGAUGGAUUAUUGCAAUUAUUAAUCUUCAACGAGGAAUUCCUAGUAAGCGCGAGUCAUCAGCUCGCGUUGAUUACGUCCCUGCCCUUUGUACACACCGCCCGUCGCUCCUACCGAUUGAAUGGUCCGGUGAAAUCUUCGGAUUGCUGACCAAGAUCCAGCAAUGGAGCUUGGUUGCGAGAAGUUGAUUAAACCUUAUUAUUUAGAGGAAGGAGAAGUCGUAACA
rnacentral:rRNA from 1 species